UACGUAGGGUGCAAGCGUUGUCCGGAAUUAUUGGGCGUAAAGAGCUCGUAGGCGGUCUGUCGCGUCGAAUGUGAAAACCCGGGGCUCAACUCCAGAACUGCCUUCGAUACUGGCGAUCUUGAGUCCGGAAGAGGUGAGUGGAACUCCUAGUGUAGAGGUGGAAUUCGUAGAUAUUAGGAAGAACACCAGUGGCGAAGGCGGCUCACUGGUCCGGUACUGACGCUGAGGUGCGAAAGCGUGGGGAGCAAACAGGG
rnacentral:rRNA from 1 species